rnacentral:lncRNA from 1 species
CCCCGGGCUGCUGCGUGGGCUUCUCAUUUCAUGUUGGAAAUUACACAGUAGGCUCAAGACAGAGCCUGUGAUCCCAUUUCUGAUCCUAAGAGCUCAUGCCCUGUCCUCAGGAAUGCUCCCCACGGGUUGAGGAUUAAAGAGCAGUGAUCACAUGAGCUAAUGGAUUUUAUGGCUUUCGGUUGGGGGUUGUCAUUAAAUGACGCUGCGGCUUCCGUGCACUCCACGACUGCCUGGCACAGAGCAGGGGGAAAGGUGAAUAAACACCACAGUACAUUAGCAAGUGCUGCUACUGAGAGACCUCCAGCCACGUGUCCCUGCCAUGGAAGGACAAGGGUGUUUUGGUCCCAAGAGAGCUGCCUCAUUCAUGAAGAGAGGAGGGUGUCCAAGGCAGGGAUCAUUUGCUGGAACUGCUCCAAUCCUACUGCCCUUAAAUUUAUAAAACUCCCACUUGAGUCAAUGGGAGCUGUGCAUGCUGAAGAGCUACUGGGUGGAGGCUGUAAAUGUCUGACGCUGAUUGUGUGACACAUGGGCGCUCUUACGGCUGAUUGAAGGAACGACGCAUCAGCAGCAGAUGAGACCCCUGCACAAAUAGGAUAACAACACCAUGUCAAUAUUUUCCUAAUGUGUGAAUAAGUGCUGUGAGGGACAGGGCAUACAACAUUCCAGAAA